rnacentral:rRNA from 1 species
CGCGGCCUAUCAGCUUGUUGGUGAGGUAACGGCUCACCAAGGCAUCGACGGGUAGCUGGUCUGAGAGGAUGAUCAGCCACACUGGGACUGAGACACGGCCCAGACUCCUACGGGAGGCAGCAGUGGGGAAUAUUGCACAAUGGGCGCAAGCCUGAUGCAGCGAUGCCGCGUGCGGGAUGAAGGCCCUAGGGUUGUAAACCGCUUUCAGCAGGGAAGAAAAUGACGGUACCUGCAGAAGAAGGUGCGGCCAACUACGUGCCAGCAGCCGCGGUGACACGUAGGCACCAAGCGUUGUCCGGAUUUAUUGGGCGUAAAGAGCUCGUAGGCGGUUCAGUUAGUCGGGUGUGAAAACUCUGGGCUCAACCCAGAGACGCCACCCGAUACUGCUGUGACUAGAGUACGGUAGGGGAGUGGGGAAUUCCUGGUGUAGCGGUGAAAUGCGCAGAUAUCAGGAGGAACACCAGUGGCGAAGGCGCCACUCUGGGCCGUAACUGACGCUGAGGAGCGAAAGCAUGGGUAGCAAACAGGAUUAGAUACCCUGGUAGUCCAUGCCGUAAACGUUGGGCACUAGGUGUGGGUCUCAACCAACGAGAUCCGCGCCGUCGCUAACGCAUUAAGUGCCCCGCCUGGGGAGUACGG